CAUGCCUGUAAUCGAAUCUCCACUCACCUGUAUCCCAUGACGUGCAUGUGCACAUGUAAUGGAUAGAUGGCACUCCCAAAGCAAGUGCUGUGAAAGAGAAGAGGUUUACCACCCCCCAGCCUCUGCCUUGUCUCACUUCCCAAGCCUGGGCACCAGAACUGGCUUGACACAGGAUUGCACCCUCCUGAAAUUGCACUCCUGAAGGCUGCUAGGGAGAAUGCACCGUUGUGAGCAUCAGUGAAAUCAGGCUUAAUCAUAGUAAUGGAAG